CUCAGAAGCAGCCACACAUUCAAAGAGUGCGUAAUAGCUCACUGGUCGAGCGUCUUUGCGCGGAGAAUUUAACGGGGCUAAACCUGACACCGAAGCUUAGGCAAUACAGCAAUGUAUUGGGUAGGGGAGCGUUGUAUACGCGGUGAAACAGUAGCGCAAGCGGCUGUGGAGUGUAUAGAAGUGAGAAUGCCGGAAUGAGUAGCGCGAAUGCAGUGAGAAUCUGCAUGGCCGAAAGCCUCAGGUUUCUGGAGGAAGGUUCGUCCGCUCCAGGUUAGUCGGGAGCUAAGGUGAGGCCUAACGGCGUAGCCGAUGCACAGACGGUAGAGAUUCCGUCACCACCAAAAGAGUUAAACACAGGGACACAUUUGAAGUCUCGGAGCCGGGUGUUGGUUCCGGUAGCGAUCGAGGGAAAUUAGUACCGAAGUCCGGGAUGGAAGAUGGCGAGAAAAGCUGUGUGUAUUUCUGCGGUGCCCGUACCGCAAACCGACACAGGUAGGUAGGAAGAAGAUUCUAAGGCCAACGGGAGAAGGGUUGUUAAGGAACUCGGCAAAUUGACCCCGUAACUUCGGGAGAAGGGGUGCUCCAGAGAUGGAGCCGCAGAGAAUCGGCCCAAGCAACUGUUUACCAAAAACACAGGUUUGUGCUAAAUCGAAAGAUGACGUAUACGAGCUGACGCCUGCCCGGUGCUGGAAGGUUAAGAGGAGAUGUGCAAGCAUUGAAUCGAAGCCCCAGUGAACGGCGGCCGUAACUAUAACGGUCCUAAGGUAGCGAAAUUCCUUGUCAGGUAAGUUCUGACCCGCAUGAAAGGCGUAAUGAUUUGGGCACUGUCUCAACAGCCCGCCCGGCGAAAUUGUAGUACCGGUGAAGAUGCCGGUUACCCGCGACAAGACGGAAAGACCCCAUGGAGCUUUACUGUAGCCUAAUAUUGGGUUUCGAUGUUGCAUGCACAGGAUAGAUGGGACACAGGGAAACAAGUGCUUUGGCAUUUGUGGAGUGGCCGUUGGGAUACCAUCCUUGCGAUAUUGGAAUUCUAACCUGCGCCUCUGAAUCGAGGCGGGGGACAUUGUCAGGUGGGCAGUUUGACUGGGGCGGUCGCCUCCUAAAAAGUAACGGAGGCGUUCAAAGGUUCGCUCAGCUUGAACGGAAAUCAAGCAAAAGAGUGCAAACGCAGAAGCGAGCCUAACUGCGAGACUGACGGGUCGAGCAGUAACGAAAGUUGGAGUUAGUGAUCCGGUGGUAUGUGAGUGGAAAUGCCAUCGCUCAACGGAUAAAAGUUACCCUGGGGAUAACAGGCUGAUCUCCCCCAAGAGUCCACAUCGACGGGGAGGUUUGGCACCUCGAUGUCGGCUCAUCGCAUCCUGGGGCUGUAUUCGGUCCCAAGGGUUUGGCUGUUCGCCAAUUAAAGCGGUACGCGAGCUGGGUUCAGAACGUCGUGAGACAGUUCGGUCCCUAUCUGUCGUGGGCGCAGGAUAUUUGAUGGGAGCUGUUCCUAGUACGAGAGGACCGGAGCGGACGUACCUCUGGCGCACCAGUUGUUCUGCCAAGGGCAUAGCUGGGCAACUAUGUACGGAUCGGAUAAACGCUGAAAGCAUCUAAGCGUGAAGCCGACCCAAAGAUAAGAUAUCCCAUUGU
rnacentral:rRNA from 1 species